rnacentral:rRNA from 1 species
GAUGAACGCUGACAGAAUGCUUAACACAUGCAAGUCGACUCGAGUCUUCGGACUUGGGUGGCGCACGGGUGAGUAACGCGUAAAGAACUUGCCUCUUAGACCGGGACAACAUCUGGAAACGGAUGCUAAUACCGGAUAUUAUGGUUUUUUCGCAUGGAGGAAUCAUGAAAGCUAGAUGCGCUAAGAGAGAGCUUUGCGUCCCAUUAGCUGGUUGGUGAGGUAACGGCCCACCAAGGCAAUGAUGGGUAGCCGGCCUGAGAGGGUGAACGGCCACAAGGGGACUGAGACACGGCCCUUACUCCUACGGGAGGCAGCAGUGGGGAAUAUUGGACAAUGGACCACAAGUCUGAUCCAGCAAUUCUGUGUGCACGAUGACGUUUUUCGGAAUGUAAAGUGCUUUCAGUCGGGAAGAAGUCAGUGACGGUACCGACAGAAGAAGCGACGGCUAAAUACGUGCCAGCAGCCGCGGUAAUACGUAUGUCGCAAGCGUUAUCCGGAUUUAUUGGGCGUAAAGCGCGUCUAGGCGGCAAGGAAAGUCUGAUGUGAAAAUGCGGAGCUCAACUCCGUAUGGCGUUGGAAACUGCCUUACUAGAGUACUGGAGAGGUAGGCGGAACUACAAGUGUAGAGGUGAAAUUCGUAGAUAUUUGUAGGAAUGCCGAUGGGGAAGCCAGCCUACUGGACAGAUACUGACGCUAAGCGCGAAAGCGUGGGUAGCAACAGG